UGGCUCAGGAUGAACGCUGGCGGCGUGCCUAAUACAUGCAAGUCGAACGGACGACUUCGGUCGUUAGUGGCGAACGGGUGAGUAACGCGUUGGUGACCUGCCCCGGAGUGUGGGAUAACAGGCCGAAAGGCUUGCUAAUACCACAUGCGCAAGUGGGAGUUAGAGACCCAUUUGUAAAGGGAGAAAUCCGCUCUGGGAGGGGCCUGCGACCCAUCAGCUAGUUGGUAAGGUAACGGCCUACCAAGGCGAUGACGGGUAGGGGACCUGAGAGGGUGGCCCCCCACAAUGGAACUGAAACACGGUCCAUACACCUACGGGUGGCAGCAGUAGGGGAUAUUGCUUAAUGGGCGAAAGCCUGAAGCAGCAACGCCGCGUGUGCGAUGAAGGCCUUCGGGUUGUAAAGCACUUUUAGCAGGGAAGAGGAAGGACGGUACCUGCUGAAUAAGCCUCGGCUAACUACGUGCCAGCAGCCGCGGUAAAACGUAGGAGGCGAGCGUUAUCCGGAUUUACUGGGUGUAAAGCGCGUGCAGGCGGUUUGCUAAGUUGGAUGUGAAAGCUCCCGGCUCAACUGGGAGAGGUCGUUCAAGACUGGCAGACUGGAGAGCAGUAGGGGAAGGUGGAAUUCCGGGUGUAGUGGUGAAAUGCGUAGAUAUCCGGAGGAACACCAGUGGCGAAGGCGGCCUUCUGGACUGCAUCUGACGCUCAGACGCGAAAGCUAGGGGAGCAAACGGGAUUAGAGACCCCGGUAGUCCUAGCCGUAAACGAUGUGAACUUGGCGCCGGUUGGGUAAAACCGAUCGGUGCCGGAGCUAACGCGAUAAGUUCACCACCUGGGGACUACGGCCGCAAAGGUAAAAACUCAAU
rnacentral:rRNA from 1 species